UUUGUUUUUCAGGUUUAAACCUCCAGACGGGUUGAAGAAAUCGCCCGACAGGAACCACUCGGCAAAUUUUGUUUCCUCCCUUGAAAUCCCACUGGACGUGGAGCAGAUCAUUCACUUGAAGACGCCGAAGGACAGUUUGUGGAAGGUUUAAAGAAGUGAAAGCAGGAGAUCCUGGGGAGAAGGCAAGGGUGGAAGAGAUAUGGGAUCAUAAAAUUUGGCAGAGC